UUUUUUUUUUUUUUUUUUUUUUUUUUUUUUGNNNNNNNNNNNUUUUUGUUUAGCAAAAUGUGGACAACCAUCAGUAUCAUUUUUAUUGCAAAUUAGUUAACAAAAAAAGAUGAAAAAAAUACAUCAUUUUCAUUACCUACAGUUUUGCAUGUAGUUUUUUUUUUUUACGUUUCUUUUUUUUGUAAACUACACUUUAUUUUAUACAACACAGUAAGAAUCAACAUCUUAGGAUGCGUCUGGUCAUAUCUAUUAGGCAUGGCACAGACACUGCCCCCCAAAAGGCCAGAAAGAGCUGCCCUGAGGAGGUGGGCAACUGCCCCCGAAAGCCCCCAGCACACAGUGGCUGGAAAGGGACUUGGUGGGCAGCAGAUGGGCCAUCCUGGGUUGUGCUCUUAGGAGCUACUGGUUCGGCAGCUACAGGUCACAAGGUCUGGGUCACACUGAGCUAAGCCACAGUCUGAC
ensembl:processed_transcript Gm13568 predicted gene 13568